rnacentral:rRNA from 1 species
UAUGUGAUCGUCUCUCGCAUAUCAAUAAGCGGAGGAAAAGAAACUAACAAGGAUUCCCCUAGUAACGGCGAGUGAAGCGGGAAGAGCUCAAAUUUGAAAUCUUAAAGGGUUUCCCUUUACGAAUUGUAGUUUAAAGAAGUGUUUUCUGUUGAGGUUUUGGUAAAAGUUCUUUGGAAUAGGACAUCAUAGAGGGUGAGAAUCCCGUAUUUGACCUUUACUUUCAACUUUGUGAUACACUUUCAAAGAGUCGGAUUGUUUGGGAAUGCAGUCCAAAAUGGGUGGUAAAUUUCAUCUAAAGCUAAAUAUUGGCGAGAGACCGAUAGCGAACAAGUACCGUGAGGGAAAGAUGAAAAGAACUUUGAAAAGAGAGUUAAACAGUACGUGAAAUUGUCAAAAGGGAAGCGUUUGACACCAGUGUUGUUUUCUGAAAAUCAAUUAAAGAACUGUUUAUGCUAAGCUUGUUUAGACUUUAUCAGCUAUCUGUUUAGUUUUGAGCUUUUCUUUAAUGCACUUUUCAGUUAACAAGUCAACAUCAAUUUCUUUUGCUGUAAAAAAGCUUGAGGAAGGUGGCUUGAGAUUCGUCUUAAGUGUUUAUAGCCUCUUGCCUAUGCAGUCGGAGAGAUUGAGGUCUGCAGCGUAGAUCCUUCGGGGCUAAAUGCAUUUGUGCUAAGUUAUAGCAUUUUAUAGACAACUUGUUGACUAUGAUUUGUCUUGUAGCUUACUCGCUUAUGUUAUUUUACCUACGCUUAGGAUGUUGACUGAUAUGUAGUCGUAA